rnacentral:lncRNA from 1 species
UCAACACUAUCACAUCUGACCCUCACAAUAACCAUCAUCACCCCCAUUUUAUAGAUGGGCAAACUGGGGCCAGGGAGCAUGAGGUCACCGCCAAGGUCACACACCAAGAAAGCAGUUGACUCCGGGGCUGAGGUGCUUAAGCACUCUGGCACACUCCUUCUUUCCCCAGCCACUGCUUUUGGAUGUUUGAAUGUCUCUUAGAUCUCAGUCCCUGCUUACAUUCCCCUAGUGAUGGGGAAAUCACUCCUCUCUGGACAGCCUGUUAUCUCUCUAACGAUUAGACACAGUUGCCAAAUGAUUGAUCAGGUCUUGUGACUCCUCAGAAGGGUUAUUUUGGCACUGAGUGCCCUCUGUGGUCUGGCUGCUAACUCUCUUCUGCAAAUGGAUCUCUCACGGCUCGCCACCACAGCAGGCUGCCUGGGGUCUCCUUGCUGCUCAGUGUCCCGCUCUGCCCCGGGUCUUUCUUAUUCAUUCCCAUCCUGCUCCAAUUACCAGCCCUGUCUCUGUUCCUAUCCUGGAAUAUCAAAGCUGGAAAUCCAUGACUCCUCAUUUUCCUGAUGGAGAGAGGCCCAGAGAGGGGGUGCAUUUCUCCAGUGCACAGGGUGAGUUGACAGUGUGGGUCCCAAAUCUUCUGCCAAUAAAAUAAUAAAUAGUACUGAGCCUAGCCAAUUUUCGUCAAGUGCUUGAUAACCACCAUGCUAAGUGUCUCACGAAUGUAAUCGAUUUACUUCUCACAUAGCCCUAUGAGGCAGACUAUUUCUAUUGCCAUGUUGCCAUGGAGACGAAGCACAGAGAGGUGACUUGCCCAAGAUCACACAGGCAUCUGACGUCAGAGCCAGGCUCCGAGCCGGGAGCUCCCUGCACCGUGCACCCGCUCUCCAUUCCACGUGGCCCAUUGUGGGUGAUUGAGCAGACAGGAGGACAAGAGGAGCCAGCCUGCCAGGGACAGGUGUGUCUUUCUCUAUCCCAGCUGCAAACUCUUCACUCUUUCCCUGGGCAAUUUCAUUCAUGCUGA